rnacentral:rRNA from 1 species
GAGUGGCGGACGGGUGAGUAACGCGUGGGAACCUGCCCAGUGGUGGGGGAUAACUGCGGGAAACUGCAGCUAAUACCGCAUGAGCCAGGGGAAAGAUUUAUCGCCAUUGGAGGGGCCCGCGUUCGAUUAGGUAGUUGGUGGGGUAAUGGCCCACCAAGCCGACGAUCGAUAGCUGGUCUGAGAGGAUGAUCAGCCACACUGGGACUGAGAUACGGCCCAGACUCCUACGGGAGGCAGCAGUGGGGAAUAUUGGACAAUGGGGGCAACCCUGAUCCAGCAAUGCCGCGUGAGUGAUGAAGGCCUUCGGGUUGUAAAGCUCUUUUGCCAGGGACGAUGAUGACGGUACCUGGAGAAUAAGCCCCGGCUAACUUCGUGCCAGCAGCCGCGGUAAUACGAAGGGGGCAAGCGUUGUUCGGAAUUACUGGGCGUAAAGGGCGCGUAGGCGGCCGAUCAAGUCAGGCGUGAAAUUCCCGGGCUCAACCUGGGGGCUGCGCUUGAUACUGGUUGGCUUGAAUGCGGGAGAGGAUAGUGGAAUUCCCAGUGUAGAGGUGAAAUUCGUAGAUAUUGGGAAGAACACCGGUGGCGAAGGCGGCUAUCUGGCCCGUAAU